GUGGGGAAUCUUCCGCAAUGGACGAAAGUCUGACGGAGCAACGCCGCGUGAGUGAAGAAGGCCUUCGGGUCGUAAAGCUCUGUCAUCAGGGACGAACGGCCGGUGGAGUGGAAAGCCACCGGAUUGACGGUACCUGAGAAGGAAGCCACGGCUAACUACGUGCCAGCAGCCGCGGUAAUACGUAGGUGGCAAGCGUUGUCCGGAAUUAUUGGGCGUAAAGCGCGCGCAGGUGGGAUCUUAAGUCCAUUUUUAAAGUUCGGAGCUCAACUCCGUGAUGGGAUGGAAACUGGGAUUCUUGAGUACCGGAGAGGAAAGCGGAAUUCCCCGUGUAGCGGUGAAAUGCGUAGAUAUGGGGAGGAACACCAGUGGCGAAGGCGGCUUUCUGGACGGUGUCUGACACUGAGGCGCGAAAGCCAGGGGAGCGAACGGGAUUAGAAACCCCGGUAGUCC
rnacentral:rRNA from 1 species